rnacentral:rRNA from 1 species
AUUGAACGCUGGCGGCAGGCCUAACACAUGCAAGUCGAGCGGAGCGGCGGACGGGUGAGUAAUGCCGAGGAAUCUGCCUGGAAGUGGGGGAUAACGUCCGGAAACGGGCGCUAAUACAGCAUACUAUAAGGUGAGACUAGGUCGGAUUAGCUAGUUGGUGGGGGAAAGGCCUAGCAAGGCGACGAUCCGUAACUCGUCUGAGAGGAUGACCAGCCACUCGGGAACUGAGACUCGGUCCAGUAUCCGUCGCGAGGCAGCAUUGGUGAAUAUUACACAAUGGGCGCAUUCCUGUUCCGGCCAUGCCUCGUGUGUGAAGAAGUCCUUCGGGUUGUAAAGUCCUUUGUGUUGGGAGGCUUUACCCGCAGAAUAAGCACCGGCUAACUCCGUGCCAGCAGCCGCGGUAAUAC